CAGAAUGGUCAGCAGGACAGAGAGGGGCCCAAGGCCAGCAGAGUGACCUGAGAUGACAGAACACAGGGCUUACGGAGCUGCCAGACAUUGAUACAAUUUAGGAGAGACACCCCCAUCCCUUUCUGGCUCCUGAAGAAAUGCAGGAAGAGAAAGAGAAACCAGGACUUCAGUUGUAGUGGAUACAAGUCUGGAAUGCAGAGCCAGACAGACCUGAGUUCAAGUCUCAACUCCAACCUGGUCUGGAGCAUGUGACAAAAGCCCUCGGAGCAUCAGUUUCCAAACCUGCGACGGAGGGUGACACGGCAUCUCACAGGGCUCCGGUGGAAGGGCAGUGAGGAAACUGCUGUAAAGUUGUGGCAGAUGUUCUUCUGUAUCUGCCAAGAGCCAUUGCCCUCCCCUCCCUUCUUAUAGCAGAGACCACUCCCCAUACAGAUGCUGCGGUUCCAAAGUUUCUUCAAUCACAGAAGGAGAAGCUGGGGAUGGGGCUGGGGAGACUGCUUUUCUGCCCCCGGCUCCUUGGGUGUGUGGAACUGGCUUGGUCCCCCUUAAUCCUGAGGGGUUCCCCUUAUGCUGACCAAGGCAGAGCAGAAAGAUGAAAGAGCCCGUGUCCAGGAAGACAUCACAGAUGCUGGACGUGGCCACCCAUGGAACUCUCAUCGUGGGAGCUAAAAAACCCCAGAAGACUGAGGCCAUGAAGCUGCCGCAUCAGCAGAGUAGUGUUAAGCGGCAUCUUUCUCCAUGAAGAUGUUUGAAAGCAUCUCUCCUCUGACUCCGGGCGAACAGGAUGGCUCCGUCAUCUACCUGUAGAUCAUUCCUCCCGAUCAGUUCUGAAUAAGAAGUGUCCUCCCAGCUUCCUUCCCAGAACUGUGGAUCAUCAAUAAACCCAUCUAUUAAAAAAAAAUCCCUCUGACA
rnacentral:lncRNA from 1 species